rnacentral:rRNA from 1 species
CGAACGGUGAGUAAUAUAUCGGAACGUAUCCAAUAAUGGGGGAUAACUAAUCGAAAGGUUAGCUAAUACCGCAUACGCCCUGAGGGGGAAAGCUAGGGACCGCAAGGCCUGGCGUUAAUGGAGCGGCCGAUAUCUGAUUAGCUAGUUGGUGAGGUAAAGGCUCACCAAGGCUUCGAUCAGUAGCUGGUCUGAGAGGACGACCAGCCACACUGGAACUGAGACACGGUCCAG